AACAAUUAUGAAAAAAAAAUGAAUGAAAAUGAAAAAUAAGCCCUAAUUUUCACUUCACUUCUCACGCGAGGGCAGAACCGCAGAAGACAAGAACGGAUGGAGCCCUAAUCUCUCAGUCUCUCUUUCGUCAUUUUCUCUCAAUUCGCAAUGGUAAACUCCAUUUUUUUUUAGUCUCCCGACUCUCCAGUCUCCCCUCUAAAACAAAGACCAAGCAACAUUCCGAAUUUCAGUCGGGAUAGUGAGUGCGUAAUCACGAUUCGCGCAACAAAUUUCAGUUUCUUCGAAGAAAUAUAUGUAACUCGCACCGUUCCGAAUUUCAGUUUCAAUUUCAAUUUCUUCGAAGCAACAUUCCGAAUUUCAGUUGUACCAUUGUGCUUAGAGUUGUCAGGUGUCGACUAAAAUUGAAAUUGAAUUAACUCGCACACAGAGCUUCAUUAUUGUGCAAUCUCAUGUACUGGGUGAUUGUUUCCAUAUUUUGUUUGUGCAAUCUCUUUUGG
rnacentral:lncRNA from 1 species